rnacentral:rRNA from 1 species
GUGGAUUAGAUACCCUGGUAGUCCAUGCCGUAAACGUUGGGCGCUAGGUGUGGGACUCAUUCCACGAGUUCCGUGCCGCAGCUAACGCAUUAAGCGCCCCGCCUGGGGAGUACGGCCGCAAGGCUAAAACUCAAAGGAAUUGACGGGGGCCCGCACAAGCGGCGGAGCAUGCGGAUUAAUUCGAUGCAACGCGAAGAACCUUACCAAGGCUUGACAUAUACCGGAAACACCUAGAGAUAGGUGCCCCUUUUGGUCGGUAUACAGGUGGUGCACGGCCGUCGACAGCU